rnacentral:rRNA from 1 species
CACGUGGAUAACCUACCUAUAAGACUGGGAUAACUUCGGGAAACCGGAGCUAAUACCGGAUAAUAUUUUGAACCGCAUGGUUCAAAAGUGAAAGACGGUCUUGCUGUCACUUAUAGAUGGAUCCGCGCUGCAUUAGCUAGUUGGUAAGGUAACGGCUUACCAAGGCAACGAUGCAUAGCCGACCUGAGAGGGUGAUCGGCCACACUGGAACUGAGACACGGUCCAGACUCCUACGGGAGGCAGCAGUAGGGAAUCUUCCGCAAUGGGCGAAAGCCUGACGGAGCAACGCCGCGUGAGUGAUGAAGGUCUUCGGAUCGUAAAACUCUGUUAUUAGGGAAGAACAUAUGUGUAAGUAACUGUGCACAUCUUGACGGUACCUAAUCAGAAAGCCACGGCUAACUACGUGCCAGCAGCCGCGGUAAUACGUAGGUGGCAAGCGUUAUCCGGAAUUAUUGGGCGUAAAGCGCGCGUAGGCGGUUUUUUAAGUCUGAUGUGAAAGCCCACGGCUCAACCGUGGAGGGUCAUUGGAAACUGGAAAACUUGAGUGCAGAAGAGGAAAGUGGAAUUCCAUGUGUAGCGGUGAAAUGCGCAGAGAUAUGGAGGAACACCAGUGGCGAAGGCGACUUUCUGGUCUGUAACUGACGCUGAUGUGCGAAAGCGUGGGGAUCAAACAGGAUUAGAUACCCUGGUAGUCCACGCCGUAAACGAUGAGUGCUAAGUGUUAGGGGGUUUCCGCCCCUUAGUGCUGCAGCUAACGCAUUAAGCACUCCGCCUGGGGAGUACGACCGCAAGGUUGAAACUCAAAGGAAUUGACGGGGACCCGCACAAGCGGUGGAGCAUGUGGUUUAAUUCGAAGCAACGCGAAGAACCUUACCAAAUCUUGACAUCCUUUGACAACUCUAGAGAUAGAGCCUUCCCCUUCGGGGGACAAAGUGACAGGUGGUGCAUGGUUGUCGUCAGCUCGUGUCGUGAGAUGUUGGGUUAAGUCCCGCAACGAGCGCAACCCUUAAGCUUAGUUGCCAUCAUUAAGUUGGGCACUCUAAGUUGACUGCCGGUGACAAACCGGAGGAAGGUGGGGAUGACGUCAAAUCAUCAUGCCCCUUAUGAUUUGGGCUACACACGUGCUACAAUGGACAAUACAAAGGGCAGCGAAACCGCGAGGUCAAGCAAAUCCCAUAAAGUUGUUCUCAGUUCGGAUUGUAGUCUGCAACUCGACUACAUGAAGCUGGAAUCGCUAGUAAUCGUAGAUCAGCAUGCUACGGUGAAUACGUUCCCGGGUCUUGUACACACCGCCCGUCACACCACGAGAGUUUGUAACACCCGAAGCCGGUGGAGUAACCUUUUAGGAGCUAGCCGUCGAAGGUGGGACAAAUGAUUGGGGUGAAGUCGUAACAAGGUAGCCGUAUCGGAAGGUGCGGCUGGAUCACCUCCUUUCUAAGGA